rnacentral:lncRNA from 1 species
AUGGGGACAUUCCUCCUCCUUCUGCAGAGAACAGAGCAGUGCCCUCAGAGUACCUCAAAGUACCAUCAGUGGCAAGGACCAGAGAAGAACAAAGUGAUAAAUGCACAGAGGAGGAAGAACAAGUUUUCCGUUAGGCCACUGCUAGGAAGCCUGACAGAGAACCCGAAGCAGCGACAGUUCCAGGAGCAGCCCAGCUACCACUUCGCUCCCACAAAAGGUAGUCUCUUUAUCUUCUUGUUAGUAAAUUAAUCCUAUCAUGUGGUCUCCAGCCUCAACACCUCAUUUAAUUUUUUUUCUUUUCAACGUUUAUUUGUUUUGGGACAGAGAGAGGACAGAGCAUGAACGGGCAAGGGGCAGAGAGAGAGGGAGACACAGAAUCGGAAACAGGCUCCAGGCUCUGAGCCAUCAGCCCAGAGCCCGACGCGGGGCUCGAACUCACGGACCGUGAGAUCGUGACCUGGCCGAAGUCGGAGACGCUUAACGGACUGCGCCACCCAGGCGCCCCAUCACCUCAUUUAAACUUUACCUCCCAAACCUCCCAAAGGCCCACCUC